AACGCAUAUUGCGCCCCCCGGCACUCCGGGGGGCAUGCCUGUCCGAGCGUCAUUGCAACCCCUCAAGCACGGCUUGCGUGUUGGGCCCGCGUCCCCCGUGGACGGGCCCAAAAGGCAGUGGCGGCGUCGCGGUCCAGGUGCCCGAGCGUAUGGGUCUUCGUUAUCCGCUCCAGGGGCCCAGUCCGGCGACCGCCGGUCAUCUUCCAUCUCGUGGUUGACCUCGGAUCAGGUAGGGAUACCCGCUGAACUUAA
rnacentral:misc_RNA from 1 species